rnacentral:rRNA from 1 species
UACGGAGGAUCCAAGCGUUAUCCGGAUUUAUUGGGUUUAAAGGGUGCGCAGGCGGAUUGGUAAGUCAGUGGUGAAGUCCUCCCGCUCAACGGGAGAACUGCCAUUGAUACUAUCAGUCUUGAGUACAUUUGAAGUGGGCGGAAUGUGUCAUGUAGCGGUGAAAUGCUUAGAGAUGACACAGAACACCGAUAGCGAAGGCAGCUCACUAAACUGUAACUGACGCUCAGGCACGAAAGCGUGGGGAUCAAACAGG